rnacentral:lncRNA from 1 species
UAGCAAGAAGAGUUAUAAUAGUUACAACAUUCUUAUUUAUUUUUGAUAUUUCUUUCUCGCCAUAUGAACUUUGUCUUUGGUCUUUUUCUUUUUCUUUAUCCUUUUUUUUAAGAUCACGUUACUGUUAAAAAUAUUAUUUAAAAUAAUAUGCAAUAUUUAAUAAGAUCUAAAACAUCUUGAUUCAUAUGUUGCAAAUUCGCAAAAAAUAAGAACUUAGAAAUUAUUGAUUUAAAAGAAGCUACACAAACAUUCUUAAUCAAAUCAAUUGUUUGAACUCUCUACCUCAAAUUCAAAUACACAACAAUUCCUUAGACAUAGAAUAAUGCAUGCUAAGUUUAUUUCUAUAAGUAAAAUAUGGAUGGUUUUUUCAUAGAAUUUAAUAUCUAAUUAUAAUAAUACAAAUUUAGGUCUAACAAUUUAUUAAGCAUGGAUGUCUAUUAUCUUGUUUUGUUUUUUGUUCUGUGUAUUC